GUGGCUGUGGCUCAACUGGUAGAGUGUUUGCUUAGCAUGUAUGAAGACCUGGGUUUGAGCCUCAGCACCACA
rnacentral:tRNA from 1 species